UGAAUGGAGAUAGCUCAGUUGGUAGAGCAUGAGACUCUUAAUCUCAAGAUCAUGGGAUUCAUUCCAUGCCAACCUCCCCACCUCCUCAA